UAGGGAAUCUUCCACAAUGGGCGCAAGCCUGAUGGAGCAACACCGCGUGAGUGAAGAAGGGUUUCGGCUCGUAAAGCUCUGUUGUUAAAGAAGAACACGUAUGAGAGUAACUGUUCAUACGUUGACGGUAUUGAACCAGAAAGUCACGGCUAACUACGUGCUAG
rnacentral:rRNA from 1 species